AGUUGAUCAUGGCUCAGGAUGAACGCUAGCUACAGGCUUAACACAUGCAAGUCGAGGGGCAGCAGGAAUCUAGCUUGCUAGAUUGCUGGCGACCGGCGCACGGGUGAGUAACGCGUAUCCAACCUUCCCCAUAGUAGAGGAUAGCCCGGCGAAAGUCGGAUUAAUACUCUAUGUUGUAUUUUGAGGACAUCUGACGAAUACCAAAGAUUGAUCGCUAUGGGAUGGGGAUGCGUCUGAUUAGGUUGUUGGCGGGGUAACGGCCCACCAAGCCGACGAUCAGUAGGGGUUCUGAGAGGAAGGUCCCCCACAUUGGUACUGAGACACGGACCAAACUCCUACGGGAGGCAGCAGUGAGGAAUAUUGGUCAAUGGGCGAGAGCCUGAACCAGCCAAGUAGCGUGCAGGAUGACUGCCCUAUGGGUUGUAAACUGCUUUUAUAGGGGAAUAAAGUCCACUACGUGUAGUGGUUUGUAUGUACCCUAUGAAUAAGGACCGGCUAAUUCCGUGCCAGCCGCCGC
rnacentral:rRNA from 1 species